rnacentral:rRNA from 1 species
CAGUGGGAGCACGCUUAGGCGUGUGACUGCGUACCUUUUGUAUAAUGGGUCAGCGACUUAUAUUCUGUAGCAAGGUUAACCGAAUAGGGGAGCCGAAGGGAAACCGAGUCUUAACUGGGCGUUAAGUUGCAGGGUAUAGACCCGAAACCCGGUGAUCUAGCCAUGGGCAGGUUGAAGGUUGGGUAACACUAACUGGAGGACCGAACCGACUAAUGUUGAAAAAUUAGCGGAUGACUUGUGGCUGGGGGUGAAAGGCCAAUCAAACCGGGAGAUAGCUGGUUCUCCCCGAAAGCUAUUUAGGUAGCGCCUCGUGAAUUCAUCUCCGGGGGUAGAGCACUGUUUCGGCAAGGGGGUCAUCCCGACUUACCAACCCGAUGCAAACUGCGAAUACCGGAGAAUGUUAUCACGGGAGACACACGGCGGGUGCUAACGUCCGUCGUGAAGAGGGAAACAACCCAGACCGCCAGCUAAGGUCCCAAAGUCAUGGUUAAGUGGGAAACGAUGUGGGAAGGCCCAGACAGCCAGGAUGUUGGCUUAGAAGCAGCCAUCAUUUAAAGAAAGCGUAAUAGCUCACUGGUCGAGUCGGCCUGCGCGGAAGAUGUAACGGGGCUAAACCAUGCACCGAAGCUGCGGCAGCGACGCUUAUGCGUUGUUGGGUAGGGGAGCGUUCUGUAAGCCUGUGAAGGUGUACUGUGAGGUAUGCUGGAGGUAUCAGAAGUGCGAAUGCUGACAUAAGUAACGAUAAAGCGGGUGAAAAGCCCGCUCGCCGGAAGACCAAGGGUUCCUGUCCAACGUUAAUCGGGGCAGGGUGAGUCGACCCCUAAGGCGAGGCCGAAAGGCGUAGUCGAUGGGAAACAGGUUAAUAUUCCUGUACUUGGUGUUACUGCGAAGGGGGGACGGAGAAGGCUAUGUUGGCCGGGCGACGGUUGUCCCGGUUUAAGCGUGUAGGCUGGUUUUCCAGGCAAAUCCGGAAAAUCAAGGCUGAGGCGUGAUGACGAGGCACUACGGUGCUGAAGCAACAAAUGCCCUGCUUCCAGGAAAAGCCUCUAAGCAUCAGGUAACAUCAAAUCGUACCCCAAACCGACACAGGUGGUCAGGUAGAGAAUACCAAGGCGCUUGAGAGAACUCGGGUGAAGGAACUAGGCAAAAUGGUGCCGUAACUUCGGGAGAAGGCACGCUGAUAUGUAGGUGAAGUCCCUCGCGGAUGGAGCUGAAAUCAGUCGAAGAUACCAGCUGGCUGCAACUGUUUAUUAAAAACACAGCACUGUGCAAACACGAAAGUGGACGUAUACGGUGUGACGCCUGCCCGGUGCCGGAAGGUUAAUUGAUGGGGUUAGCGCAAGCGAAGCUCUUGAUCGAAGCCCCGGUAAACGGCGGCCGUAACUAUAACGGUCCUAAGGUAGCGAAAUUCCUUGUCGGGUAAGUUCCGACCUGCACGAAUGGCGUAAUGAUGGCCAGGCUGUCUCCACCCGAGACUCAGUGAAAUUGAACUCGCUGUGAAGAUGCAGUGUACCCGCGGCAAGACGGAAAGACCCCGUGAACCUUUACUAUAGCUUGACACUGAACAUUGAGCCUUGAUGUGUAGGAUAGGUGGGAGGCUUUGAAGUGUGGACGCCAGUCUGCAUGGAGCCGACCUUGAAAUACCACCCUUUAAUGUUU